UACGCAUAAGCCAAGCGAAGCUGGUCUAUCUCUCUCGCUCUCUCUCUCUAUUCGAGCGUGUAGAAUCUCUCUCUCUCUAUCUCUCGCUUGAACAGAUUCUCUUUCCACUCGGCAAGCUUCCAGUCGCCGGGCCUUUGAGAAACCCUAGCUCUCUCUCUCUCUCUCUCUCUCUCUCUCUCUCUGUGUUCUGCUGCCGCGUUCGGAGCAGCUUCUAGGUUUGCCGUUCGCGCUCCUCCGCCAGUGACCUGCGAUGUCAACUCCUGCGAGGAAGAGGCUGAUGAGGGAUUUUAAGAGGUUGCAACAGGACCCACCGGCAGGCAUUAGUGGGGCGCCCCAAGAUAAUAACAUUAUGCUUUGGAAUGCGGUGAUAUUUGGUCCUGACGAUACUCCAUGGGAUGGAGGUACGUUCAAGUUGACUCUUCAGUUUUCAGAGGAUUAUCCAAAUAAACCUCCAACAGUGCGCUUUGUUUCUCGAAUGUUUCAUCCAAACAUUUAUGCCGACGGAAGUAUCUGUUUGGAUAUAUUGCAAAACCAGUGGAGUCCUAUAUAUGAUGUUGCAGCAAUACUCACAUCUAUCCAGUCUUUACUGUGUGAUCCCAAUCCGAACUCUCCUGCAAACUCGGAAGCCGCUCGAAUGUUCAGCGAGAACAAGCGAAUACAACCGGAGAGUAAGGGAAAUAGUGGAGCAGAGCUGGACUGCCGAUUAAAUUCAAUCCCGGGCAGCGG